UAUGGCAGACAAGUGCAUUGGAUUUAAACUCCUUUUAUAAAGAAAUUUCUUUUAUUAAAA
rnacentral:tRNA from 1 species